rnacentral:rRNA from 1 species
AUUGAACGCUGGCGGCAGGCUUAACACAUGCAAGUCGAGCGGGGUGAAGUGCUUCGGUACUGAUCCUAGCGGCGGACGGGUGAGUAAUGCUUAGGAAUCUGCCAUUUAGUGGGGGACAACAUUCCGAGAGGAAUGCUAAUACCGCAUACGUCCUACGGGAGAAAGCAGGGGAUCUUCGGACCUUGCGCUAAAUGAUGAGCCUAAGUCGGAUUAGCUAGUUGGUGGGGUAAAGGCCUACCAAGGCGACGAUCUGUAGCGGGUCUGAGAGGAUGAUCCGCCACACUGGGACUGAGACACGGCCCAGACUCCUACGGGAGGCAGCAGUGGGGAAUAUUGGACAAUGGGCGGAAGCCUGAUCCAGCCAUGCCGCGUGUGUGAAGAAGGCCUUUUGGUUGUAAAGCACUUUAAGCGAGGAGGAGGCUACCUGGAUUAAUACUCUGGGAUAGUGGACGUUACUCGCAGAAUAAGCACCGGCUAACUCUGUGCCAGCAGCCGCCGUAA